rnacentral:rRNA from 1 species
GACGAACGCUGGCGGCGUGCUUAACACAUGCAAGUCGAACGGUGUGGCGAACGGGUGAGUAACAAGUGGGUGACCUGCCUUGCACUCCGGGAUAAGCAUGGGAAAAUGGGUACAAUACCGGAGAGUGGGGGCUGGGCCAGCGGCCGAUCAGCUUGUAGGGGGGGUAACGGCGUACGAAGGAGGGGAGGGGUAGCCGCCCUGAGGGGGUGGCAGGCCACAUUGUGACUGGGAAGCGGCCCGGAGUGAUACGGGCGGCAUCGAUGGAAAAUAGUGGGCGAUAGGCGGAGGCCUUAUGGAGCGACUCCGGGUGGGGGAUGACGGCCUUCCGGUUGUAAACUCCUUUCACCAUCUACGCGGUAGAUGAAGAAUAAGCACCGGCUAACUACGUGCCAGCAGCCGCGGUAAUUC